UUCCCGUUUUCAACUGCGGUCCUCAAGCGUACCCAGCGUGCCCCUGCACUACUCUAUGGUCAGCGCUACAAAAGAUUACUUCGGCCACAAGCAUCAGCUGUUCCAGGAGCGACCACUACUGCUUCUACAUUGGCUCGCCAGUGGCGUCCUGCUGGUAGACUGGACUUGUCUCCUCGCCCUGCAUUACUACUGGUUCUGCAUUCCCGUUUUCAACUGCGGUCCUCAAGCGUACACAGCGUGCCCCUGCACUACUCUAUGGUCAGCGCUACAAAAGAUUACUUCGGCCACAAGCAUCAGCUGUUCCAGGAGCGACCACUACUGCUUCUACAUUGACUCGCCAGUGGCGUCCUGCUGGUAGACUGUACUUGUCUCCUCGCCCUGCAUUACUACUGGUUCUGCAUUCCAAUUUUCAACUGUGGUCCUCAAGCUUACCCAGCGUGCCCCUGCACUACUCCACGGUCAGCGCUACAAAAGAUUACUUAAGCCGCGAGCAUCACCUGUUCCAGGAGCGAAUACUACUGCUUCUACAUUAACUCGCCCUGCACUACUACUGGUGCUGCGCUCCCGUUUUCGACUCUGGUGGGUACUUCGCAGACCCCUGCACAUCGACUCUCCGUUCUGCACUCAAGGAGAUUACUUCGGGCGCCAGCAUCAGCCGUUCCAUGUGCGACUGCUAUUGCUUCUACAUUCUCUCGCGGACGGCGUCCUGCUGGCAGACUGGACUUAGCCUGGCGCCCUUGCACUUAAUUCUGGUUCCCAGUGUUUGCCGUCGCUUGUGGCGCAAGAGAAAUGUUCCAGCACGCUCAUUUCCUAGAAAAUCCCUGGCCUUGCCUCACGAGCAACCAUCUUCAGCAAGGUCGUCCUGCCGCGUCAUCUAGACAACAGGCUUCCUCAUACUCGUGAACGCGUCGCACGUCUGUCAUGGCGGUGUCCUGCCCUGUGUGGACGGCGUUUUCAUGCUCUGAAGGACUGCGUGUCGUCACCGUCCCGCGACCGUCCAUCGGAUGUGCUCCUACAGUUCUGUUGCCUUUUGCACAUACAUAUUUAAGAAGUUGAGCGUAGCAAACUCUUCUGCUUUGGAAGAGGGGUACGUUGCUCUGCGAAUGGACGGCGCUUCUAGGAAUCGGGUUGAUACGAAGCAGAACAAUAAGAAAAAGGUCUGGUUACGUGGACACCGCUCAGUCCUUAAUAAGGGAUGUCAAUGUUUUCAUGAGCCGAUCUGUGAAUUUUUGGUGGCGAGAGUAAUGGACAUUCAUUGACAUUGUGCACUUUUAUAGUAGCACGUUGUGUGUGUGUGUGUGUGUCUGCCUGUCUGCCUAUACGUGUCGCCUACUCCGUGCUCCAUUUCUUUUUCGAUAGAGAACGCAUGAUACGGGCUCAGCUGCUAUCUGACGCACUUCGAAUUUUUCAUAUGUUGGUAGCAUUUCCAGCGUCACAGUUGCUUCACUUUUCCCGGUAUAUUCCUGUUGAGAGAUUCCUGGUUUGAUGGUUUAUUAUCGUCUAUGGACAUCCGCUUUUGGGUUGGUCGAACCACUGGUUUCUUUGGCUUUGGUCCUUCGGUUGAUCUCUGUGCUCGUUUCAGCAUUCAGCGGUUUUGUUCAGGAGUCUUUCUCGUGCCAGAAACGGUCUUCACACAUUCUCGGUUCUUCCACGUCGCUCAUCACUGACUCGAAAAGAACACGCUACUACAAAAGGACACAAUGUCAAUGAAUGGGAAAGGGGAGGGUGGUUAUUCUCGCCAACGGAAAUUUCCUGAUUUGCUUAUGUAGAUAAUGACGUCCAUCUUUAAGAGUGGUUGGUGGUAAGUGUCACCGGGUUCGCUGUUUCUAUUUUUUGUUGGUGUCCUUGACUCAUCAAAUGUUUUUAUGGAUCUACAUAGUUCAACUUAUGUAUUACCUGUUGUUUGUUUAUCGGACAGUGCUACCCGCUGUCGUCGCUUGUUCACCGCGUACGCUGCGCCGUAGUUUAAUGUGUCCACAACUAUCGCGUACUGUGCAAGAUCGGUAGGAAUAAAGCGCCAUGGUGCCCUUCACGUGGCUGUGACAUCAUUCCCUCCCGACUGCAUUUCAGAUUACGAACACUUAUGUAAUUUCAUGAUUAAAGUGCACCGCGUGAGCCAUUGUCAAACAGCUGUUUCGAAGGGGCUACAUGCACUCCCAUUAUCCCAAGUCGUGUGUAAACACGUCUGGACAAGUGACGUGCGCGAGCACGCUCAAAGAAAUCUCCAUUAGAUGUCCGCUUGUACAUUUUGUGUUGAAGCGAGUUGUUUACCAGAGUUUCCCCAGUAAUCUUUUCUCUACACUGUGUUGAUCUCCAUUGCUCUUCGAAUGCAUCUGAAUGCGUUUGCUGUGAAUAGUGUUUGAGUUUGCACAUGCUACAGCUAUUAUGCUAAUCUCGAUAUCUGGACGCACACUUGAUUUAUUACGAAUUACUUGCAUUGUUCUCAACCGGUAAUAACCUUACUUCUGCGUUGCUUCAUAACGAAAAUAGGAGCACUGUUCUUGGUAAAUGGUUACGUGUGCAGCAUUACGUUGCCUAUGUUUUUCGCUGCUUUCAUCCGCUGUGAUUAAAAAGUCGGCGAACCAUGCAUGCGCGAUUGUGCUCACUCAAAUGCAUUUUUCUUAAAGGGACACUAAAGGCAGAUAAGUCGACGUGGUCUGUUUAAACAUCAUUAUAUAUACCUCGCAACGCCUGUUUCGUGUCGAGAAAACUCUUUACGAGAAAAUUGCAUCUGAAGGGCCUGAAUACCUGUUUCGAAAUUGGUCUCCCGCCACCGAGCCCGGGUAGUGGCGACGUUGCAUACGCCAUCGCCGCCCUUUCCUGCCGUCGGGGAGUAAAGCGGAGCCCGACAGACGGCGGUACCGAGCCAAGACAGAUCGGCGGGUUCGCCGCUGCAGCUGCUUCAAGUGGCGUAAACCGUUCGGGCAUCCCGCGUCAUCACUUUGAAACUGAAUUCUAAGCUACUUGCAGUUUGCGCGAGUAUCGCGAUCCGGCAAAACCAGCGCAGCACUACGCCAUAACUAAUGAAACGCGAAAGCGUGGGCGGCACGGAGUCGAGGGAAAACUAAACCUUUCAAUGUCGAUGAUUUUUUUUUCUUUCGAAAAGUGAAAUAGAACUGGACAAGCAGGAUCCUAGUUCGUCUUGUAAUACAAUGCAAGGACAUCUUGUGCAACGAGUGGUUGAGUACUAGUGACAGAACCUAACUGAGGAGUGCUAUACUUGUCUCUAAUCAUGUCCGGUAUUUACCUCAAUUUCUCAAUUAAGGCUCUGUUCGCGAUAAUAUUGACGCCUUAGAUUUUCGCGAACCAUAUCUAUCACCUUAGCUCGACUUAAUAUUUGCCUUUAGUGUCCCUUUAACCUCGAACAUACACACAGCGCAAUGUCGCCUUACUCUAGGAAUUGUCUUUUUAUUUUCCAUCUUCAGUCACACGACAGUACUGCAAUUGCGCCACACGAUGCUCACAAUCGGUUUACGAUAGGACCAGUGUGAAGAUUCUGACUUCUUGCUAUGUGUCCGCGUGGUUCCUUAAUGGCUAUGGUGUUGGGCUGCUAAGCACGAGGUCGCGCUAUCGAAUCCCCGCCACGGCGGCCGCAUUUCGAUGGAGCGGAAAUGCGAAAACACCAGUGUACUGCAAUUUAGGUGCAGAUUAAAGCAGCCCAGGUGGUCCAAAUUUCUGGAGUUUCCCACUGUGGCGUGCAUCAUCAGAUCAUGGUUUUUGCACGUAAAACCUCGUAAUUUUUGUUAAUCUGUCAUCUUGGAGGCUUUUCGUUGUUUUUGUAUAAUGCAACUGGUACGUGGAAGCAGAGGAAAGACACACCCACACAGCACUGAAUAGUUCGCAAUACGACAGCGAUGCACGAAAUAACUGCGCAUUGAGGUCAUAAUAUUAGAGGAUGUGACAUGGUAUAUAUAGAUCGUCGCCUAGAAAUGUGUUGUAAUCCCUUCUGUGCGUUUCGCAUCUAAGUGGGAAAGUUCGCAUACUUACGUGCUGUCCUGUUGUCUGAAAGCAAAUGCCGGAAACCUUUUUAAGUCUCCCAGCGAAGGCGCUCUACAACGCUUACCCAUUUCAGACAAAUUUUACAGCUUGAAGCUAUGUGAACUUUAAUGUAUGCAAAGUCUGUUACUGCACCUUGACUUGUGCUGUUACUUUCGUUUAUUGAUCUAAGAAAACUUGUCUGUUUUACAUUUCUAUACGUCGACAUAUCGUGAAGCUGAGAAAUUAUCGGUGCUAUGUAAAUUUCGGUAUGUAUUUGACAUGCAUUCCUGUUCAAAUGCAUAAAUGUAUGUUAAUGCACUGUAUAUAUGCUGCUGUUCGCAGCUUCUGGGAUUAACUCGAGUUAAGUAGCAUUGAAUCUUUUAUUUCCGUUUAUUCAACAGUUGUGUUUUGCGCUGGUUGUACUGAGCAUGCAUUGCAUUAAACUUCACCUUGCCCAAAUCAUCUGUCAGAAUAAAACUUAUUAUUCUUGUU